UAGCUAUAUACUCCGAAUGAAACACCCUCCAUAUAUUGCUGGGUGGAUUAGUGGCGAACGGGUGAGUAACACGUGAGUAACCUGCCCUUAACUCUGGGAUAAGCCUGGGAAACUGGGUCUAAUACCGGAUAGGAGCGUCCACCGCAUGGUGGGUGUUGGAAAGAUUUAUCGGUUUUGGAUGGACUCGCGGCCUAUCAGCUUGUUGGUGAGGUAAUGGCUCACCAAGGCGACGACGGGUAGCCGGCCUGAGAGGGUGACCGGCCACACUGGGACUGAGACACGGCCCAGACUCCUACGGGAGGCAGCAGUGGGGAAUAUUGCACAAUGGGCGAAAGCCUGAUGCAGCGACGCCGCGUGAGGGAUGACGGCCUUCGGGUUGUAAACCUCUUUCAGUAGGGAAGAAGCGAAAGUGACGGUACCUGCAGAAGAAGCACCGGCUAACUACGUGCCAGCAGCCGCGGUAAUACGUAGGGUGCGAGCGUUAUCCGGAAUUAUUGGGCGUAAAGAGCUCGUAGGCGGUUUGUCGCGUCUGUCGUGAAAGUC
rnacentral:rRNA from 1 species